rnacentral:rRNA from 1 species
CUCCAAGGGUCUAGUUGUCGGCAUAUUGGGCGUAAGAGCUCGUAGGCGGCGUGUCACGUCUGCUGUGAAAGACCGGGGCUUAACUCCGGUUCUGCAGUGGAUACGGGCAUGCUAGAGGUAGGUAGGGGAGACUGGAAUUCCUGGUGUAGCGGUGAAAUGCGCAGAUAUCAGGAGGAACACCGGUGGCGAAGGCGGGUCUCUGGGCCUUACCUGACGCUGAGGAGCGAAAGCAUGGGGAGCGAACAGGAUUAGAUACCCUGGUAGUCCAUGCCGUAAACGUUGGGCGCUAGGUGUGGGGACUUUCCACGGUUUCCGCGCCGUAGCUAACGCAUUAAGCGCCCCGCCUGGGGAGUACGGCCGCAAGGCUAAAACUCAAAGGAAUUGACGGGGGCCCGCACAAGCGGCGGAGCAUGUUGCUUAAUUCGACGCAACGCGAAGAACCUUACCAAGGUUUGACAUCACCCGUGGACUCGCAGAGAUGUGAGGUCAUUUAGUUGGCGGGUGACAGGUGGUGCAUGGCUGUCGUCAGCUCGUGUCGUGAGAUGUUGGGUUAAGUCCCGCAACGAGCGCAACCCUUGUUCCAUGUUGCCAGCACGUAAUGGUGGGGACUCAUGGGAGACUGCCGGGGUCAACUCGGAGGAAGGUGGGGAUGACGUCAAGUCAUCAUGCCCCUUAUGUCUUGGGCUGCAAACAUGCUACAAUGGCCGGUACAAUGGGCGUGCGAUACCGUAAGGUGGAGCGAAUCCCUAAAAGCCGGUCUCAGUUCGGAUUGGGGUCUGCAACUCGACCCCAUGAAGGUGGAGUCGCUAGUAAUCGCGGAUCAGCAACGCCGCGGUGAAUACGUUCCCGGGCCUUGUACACACCGCCCGUCACGUCAUGAAAGUCGGCAACACCCGAAACUUGCGGCCUAACCCCUUGUGGGAGGGAGUGAGUGAAGGUGGGGCUGGCGAUUGGACAUCUACAGGGGGGGGAACCCAAAACACAAUAAAGGGGGUUUUUUGGGGGUGUUUUUUCC